CUGGUGUAGGGGGAAUAACUAUGAUUAGUUCAGAAAACGGUAUCUAAUGAUAAUUCUUUCUUGGCGGUUUGAUAUGAUAAGCAGCUUAAUUAACAAUUUUUUAAUGUACGUUAAUUUUGUCGCCUAGAUGGAGCCAAAAAGCGAGACAUAGGUACUGUAAUUUCAGAAAUUAUUGCGAGGUUUUUAUACGACUGCAAAAUUUUUGCGGUCGUAUAUUGGUAUGACGUUGGCGUCGUCGUUGUCAUCCCAAGACAUUUGGUUUUCACACUAUAACUUUAGUAUAAGUUAAUAGAAAUCUAUGAAAUUUAAACACAAGGUUUAUGACCACAAAAGGAAGGUUGGGAUUGAUUUUGGGAGUUUUGGUUCCAACAGUUUAGGAAUAAGGGGCUAAAAAAGGGCCCAAAUAAGCAUUUUUCUUGGUUUUUGCACAGUAACUUUAGUAAAAGUAAAUAGAAAUCUAUGAAAUUUAAACACAAGGUUUAUGACCACAAAAGGAAGGUUGGGAUUGAUUUUGGGAGUUUUGGUCCCAACAGUUUAGGAAUUAGGGGCCAAAAGGGUCCAAAACUAAACUUUGUUUGAUUUCAUCAAAAAUUGAACUAUUGGGGUUCUUUGAUAUGCCGAAUCUAACCAUGUAUUUAGAUUCUUAAUUUUUGGUCCCGUUUUCAAAUUGGUCUACAUUAAGGUCCAAAGGGUCCAAAAUUAAACUUAGUUUGAUUUUAACAAAAAUUGAAUUCUUGGGGUUCUUUGAUAUGCUGAAUCUAAACAUGUACUUAGUUUUUAUACGACCGCAAAAAAAUUUUGUGGUCGUAUAUUGGUAUGACGUUGGCGUCGUCGUCGUCGUUGUCGUCCGAAUACAUAUUGGUUUUCGCACUCUAACUUUAGUUUAAGUGAAUGGAUCUUUUUGAAAUUUGACCAUAAGGUUAAAUACCACAAAAGGAAGGUGGGGAUUGAUUUUGGGGGUUAUGGUACCAACAGUUAAGGAAUUGGGGGCCAAAAAGGGGCCAAAAAUGAGCAUUUUCUAGUUUCCAGACAAUAACUGUGGAACGGUGUAUGGAUCUCUCUGAAAUUAUACUACAAGUUUCCAUACCACAAAGGGAUGGUUAGGAUUUGCUUUGGGGGGUUAUGGCUCAAACCGUUUAGGAAUUAGGGGCAAAAAAGGGGGAAAAACAAGGUUGUCCUGGUUAAUGGACAAAUACUUUAGUACAAAACAUAAUUUAAAGCAGUGUAAGGGAGAUAAAUCAAAUACAUCAUUGAAAUUAUCUCCCUUACACUGCUUUUAAAUUAUGUAUAAAGUAAUGGUUAAUGAACAAUAAAGAUAAUCUAAAACAGUGUAAGGGAGGUAAUCAAAAUACAAUGUUUUGGUUACUUCCCUUACACUGCUUUUAAAUUAUGUUUAAAGAAAUGCAUAUUUAUAAAGGAAGACCAGUAAAAAUAUCUGCAAAUGUUUUCAUCUUUUUUUUUUACAAAAAAAUCCAUAUGAAAGAUUUGACACUAUGUUUUUAUUAAUUCUAUUAUAAAAUAGAUUAAGUUAGCACUAUGGUAAAUUUAAAUGGGUAAUUAUGGUUGCCAACUCCAUUGGAAAUUUGAAUUGAGAUUAUGACCAUAUCUUGAGGGAAAGAAUUUUUUUGGGGGAAAAAGGGGGGGUGGGAUAAAAAGAAAUUGUGGGGGGCCAAUUUUUUCUCAUUUCAGAUUUCAGAAAUUAAAAAGAAUUAUUCUUCAAAUAUUAUUUUUUUUUUCAAAUUUCAAAUAUUGAAAAAUUUCAAGAAGUAAUCUUUAAUUGCACAGUAUGGCGCAUUAGAUUUGUAAAAUCUUUGAUCACAUUUAUUUAUUUGUUAUGCCGAAUCUAACAGUGUAUUUAGAUUUUUAAUUUUGGGUCCAGUUUUCAAAUUGGUCUACAUUAAUGUCCAAAGGGUCCAAAAUUAAACUUUGUUUGAUUUUAGCAAAAAUUGAAUAUAUGAGGUUCUUUGAUAUGCUGAAUCUAAACAUGUAUUUAGAUUUUUGAUUUUUGGCCCAGUUUUCAAGUUGGUCCAAAUUGGGGUCCAAAAUUAAACUUUGUUUGAUUUCAACAAAAAUUGAAUAUAUGGGGUUCUUUGAUAUGCUGAAUCUAACCAUGUAUUUAGAUUUUUUAUUUGUGGACCCCGUUAUCUAAUUGGUUCAUAUUGAGGUCAAAAGGGUCCAAAAUUAAACUUUGUUUGAUUUCAUCUAAAAUUGAAUUAUUGGGGUUCUUUGAUAUUCCAAAUCUAACCGUGUAUUUAGGUUUUUAAUUUUGGGUCCUGUUUUUUAAAUUGGUCUACAUUGAGGUCCAAAGGGUCCAAAUUAAACUUAGUUUGAUUUUAACAAAAAUUGAAUUCUUGGGGUUCUUUGAUUUGCUGAAUCUAAACAUGUGUUUAGAUUUUUGAUUAUGGGCCCAGUUUUCAAGUUGGUCCAAGAUAGGGUCCAGUAUUUAAACUUUGUUUGAUUUCAACAAAAAAUGAAUAUAUGGGGUUCUUUGAUAUGCUGAAUCUAAACAUGUAUUUAGAUUUUUGAUUAUGGGCCCAGUUUUCAAGUUGGUCCAAA